rnacentral:rRNA from 1 species
GACAGAGGGUGCAAACGUUGUUCGGAAUUACUGGGCGUAAAGCGUGCGCAGGCGGUUAUGUAAGACAGAUGUGAAAUGCCCGGGCUUAACCUGGGAACUGCAUUUGUGACUGCAUGGCUAGAGUUUGGCAGAGGGGGGUAGAAUUCCACGUGUAGCAGUGAAAUGCGUAGAUAUGUGGAGGAACACCGAUGGCGAAGGCAGCCCCCUGGGUCAAGACUGACGCUCAUGCACGAAAGCGUGGGGAGCAAACGGG